rnacentral:rRNA from 1 species
GGGCAGUUUUUGUCGUUUCGGGUUUGCUUGUCUCGCGGACAGAUGGGAGCUUGCUCCCUCAUAAUAGCGGCGGACGGGUGAGUAACACGUGGGUAACCUGCCUGUAAGACUGGGAUAACUCCGGGAAACCGGGGCUAAUACCGGAUGGUUGUUUGAACCGCAUGGUUCAGACAUAAAAGGUGGCUUCGGCUACCACUUACAGAUGGACCCGCGGCGCAUUAGCUAGUUGGUGAGGUAACGGCUCACCAAGGCAACGAUGCGUAGCCGACCUGAGAGGGUGAUCGGCCACACUGGGACUGAGACACGGCCCAGACUCCUACGGGAGGCAGCAGUAGGGAAUCUUCCGCAAUGGACGAAAGUCUGACGGAGCAACGCCGCGUGAGUGAUGAAGGUUUUCGGAUCGUAAAGCUCUGUUGUUAGGGAAGAACAAGUGCCGUUCAAAUAGGGCGGCACCUUGACGGUACCUAACCAGAAAGCCACGGCUAACUACGUGCCAGCAGCCGCGGUAAUACGUAGGUGGCAAGCGUUGUCCGGAAUUAUUGGGCGUAAAGGGCUCGCAGGCGGUUUCUUAAGUCUGAUGUGAAAGCCCCCGGCUCAACCGGGGAGGGUCAUUGGAAACUGGGGAACUUGAGUGCAGAAGAGGAGAGUGGAAUUCCACGUGUAGCGGUGAAAUGCGUAGAGAUGUGGAGGAACACCAGUGGCGAAAGGCGACUCUCUGGUCUGUAACUGACGCUGAGGAGC